rnacentral:rRNA from 1 species
GAAUAAAGGAUAAAUUAAUAAAUAAAUAAAUAUAAAAAAAAUUUUUAAUAUAAAUAUUUAAUUGGGGGGUUAAAGUAUUUUAUAGAAAAAAAUUAAAAAAUUUAUAGUUAAAUAGUAUUGUGAAAGAAAUUUGAAAAAUUUUAAAAUAAAAAUUUAUAUAAAAGUAAAUUUUAAUUAUUGUAUCUUGAGUAUCAGAGUUUAUUAAAAAAUAAUUUUGUAAAAAAUUAUUUCGAAUUUAAAAGAGUUAAUUAAUUAAAAAAUUUAAUAUUACAUAAUUAUUUUAAAUAAUUAAUUAGAAAUGAAAAGUUAAUCGUUUUUAAAUAUAUCUAAUUUUUUUGGAAAAAAAUUUAAUUUUAAAUUAAUUUAAUUUAAUAAUUAAUUAAUUAAUUAUUAUUAGUUUUAAUUAAAUAUUUUAAGGGAUAAGCUUUAAAUUAAAAUAUUAUAAAUAAUUAUUUUUAUUAAAUUGAAAAUUUUAAAAUUUAUAUUUUUUAUAAAUUAUAAUUUAUUAUAAAUAAUUUCAUUUAAUUAAAAUUUAAUAUUUAUUUAAUUUUUUACAUGAAUUAUAGUUUUUAAUUUUAAAAAAUUAGUAAUAAUGAUAAAAUUAGUAUAUAAUAAUAAAUUUUUAAAAAAAAUUAUUAAAAUUAAUGGAAAAGAAUUCGGCAAAAAUUUAUAUUCACUUGUUUAUCAAAAACAUGUCUUUUUGAAAAUAAUUUAAAGUCUAAUCUGCCCACUGAAAUAUUUAAAGGGCUGCAGUAUAUUGACUGUACAAAGGUAGCAUAAUAAUUAGUCUUUUAAUUGAAGACUUGUAUGAAUGAUUUAAUGAGAUAUAGACUGUUUCUUUAUUAAUAAUAGAAUUUAAUUUUUUAGUUAAAAAGCUAAAAUUUUUUUAAAAGACGAGAAGACCCUAUAGAGUUUAAUUUUUUAAUUUUUAUAAUUAUUUUAUAAAAAUUAUAAUUUAUAAAAAUUAAAAAAUUUUAUUGGGGUGAUAGAAAAAUUUAAUUAACUUUUUUUAAAAAAUUAACAUUAGUUUAUGAUUUUAUGAUCCAUAAUUUAUGAUUAAAAGAUUAAAUUACCUUAGGGAUAACAGCGUAAUUUUUUUUUUUAGUUCAAAUAAAAAUUAAAGUUUGCGACCUCGAUGUUGGAUUAAGAUAAAAUUUAAAUGUAAAAGUUUAAAAUUUUGAUCUGUUCGAUCAUUAAAAUCUUACAUGAUCUGAGUUCAAACCGGUGUAAGCCAGGUUGGUUUCUAUCUUUAAGUAAAUGAAAUAAUUUAGUACGAAAGGAUCAAUUAUUUUAAAUAAUUUAAUUAAAAGAAUAUUAAAAAUUUUUUUUGCUAUUUUGGCAGAAAAAUGUAAUGGUUUUAGAAGUCAUA